AUUGAACGCUGGCGGCAGGCCUAACACAUGCAAGUCGAACGGUAACAGGAAGCAGCUUGCUGCUUCGCUGACGAGUGGCGGACGGGUGAGUAAUGUCUGGGAAGCUGCCUGAUGGAGGGGGAUAACUACUGGAAACGGUAGCUAAUACCGCAUAAUGUCGCAAGACCAAAGAGGGGGGCCUUCGGGCCUCUUGCCAUCGGAUGUGCCCAGAUGGGAUUAGCUUGUUGGUGGGGUAACGGCUCACCAAGGCGACGAUCCCUAGCUGGUCUGAGAGGAUGACCAGCCACACUGGGACUGAGACACGGUCCAGACUCCUACGGGAGGCAGCAGUGGGGAAUAUUGCACAAUGGGCGCAAGCCUGAUGCAGCCAUGCCGCGUGUAUGAAGAAGGCCUUCGGGUUGUAAAGUACUUUCAGCGGGGAGGAAGGGAGUAAAGUUAAUACCUUUGCUCAUUGACGUUACCCGCAGAAGAAGCACCGGCUAACUCCGUG
rnacentral:rRNA from 1 species